ACAGCGCACUCUGUUGCAUGUGUGGAGCAGCUCAGCAGAGUGUGGGGCUGAAUUCCAGGUUGGCCUCCAGCCCAGGUUUAUGAAGGAAUCCAUCUUUCCGCGUUUCUGAUCAUCAUUAGAUGGGUGCUGUGUCCUUCGCAUACACAAUGCGAAUUAUCUUCCCCCGAGUGAAGGUAAAAGCAGGAAGAAAGAAUGGUGGCUGUCCUCUCCUGUCACUGUGUGUGUGUUCACACAUUUUGUCACUGUUACUCGCUGGCCAGAGCAAGAAAUGUCUUCUCUUAUCUUGGCUCAUGUUCUCUAAGAACAUUGUUCCGGUCUCUCAGUAUUUGAAUAAAACAGUGCCACUCUUUGCAAGAAGAAAGCAGGGACAGUGUCAGGUAGAAAACACCAUUGCUGCAUGUGAAGGCCUAGGUAACUGUUGCCUGUCUGGCCAGCCACUUUGUGCUGUUACUAAUGUCAUAAAGAAAAUUUUUCAUGUGCUGUUAUAGG
rnacentral:lncRNA from 1 species